CGUACACUCCUACGGGAGGCAGCAGUGGGGAAUAUUGGACAAUGGGCGCAAGCCUGAUCCAGCCAUGCCGCGUGAGUGAUGAAGGCCCUAGGGUUGUAAAGCUCUUUCACCGGUGAAGAUAAUGACGGUAACCGGAGAAGAAGCCCCGGCUAACUUCGUGCCAGCAGCCGCGGUAAUACGAAGGGGGCUAGCGUUGUUCGGAUUUACUGGGCGUAAAGCGCACGUAGGCGGACUAUUAAGUCAGGGGUGAAAUCCCGGGGCUCAACCCCGGAACUGCCUUUGAUACUGGUAGUCUUGAGUUCGAGAGAGGUGAGUGGAAUUCCGAGUGUAGAGGGGAAAUUCGUAGAUAUUCGGAGGAACACCAGUGGCGAAGGCGGCUCACUGGCUCGAUACUGACGCUGAGGUGCGAAAGCGUGGGGAGCAAACAGGAUUAGAUACCCUAGUAGUCC
rnacentral:rRNA from 1 species